GGCCAGUUGCGGCGAGCGCACGCGCCGCUGCCCAACGGGCGCGCGGGCGCGGCUGCGGCGGGCUCCCCCGAGGCGCUGCACGACUACUGGCGCUCCGUAUCCUCCAUCAGCGACGCGGACGACGUCGACGCCAUACUCGAGUACAAUGAUACGCUGUUCGAUAUCCUGCUGAACAGUCUGUCUCUGGAGAGCGGCGGCGCGGAGUGCGAGGAG